CCAGCUCUGCCUUUUGAAUAGAGAACGAAGAGCUCCGCAUCCCGGGCGGCAUUUCAAGGUUUGAUUCAUCAGGCAAGUUCUCAAGGCUCAAUGUUGAUGGAUAGAUCCGCCCUGGAGCCAACGUUAAAGCCAGACCUUAGAUUUAUGAAAAUAAACCAAAACAAGCGAUGAGACAUUUUGAAAUGUAGAAACUAAGAGGAAAGAACAAGACUUCCCUUAGGAUCUGGGGAGCCGGGGAAAUGCAAGUGUUACCAUCCUCAGUUCAACAACCAACAGAAAAACUCAUGUCACCUAAGCACAAGGUGUGAACUGCUGCCAGGCCCGCACCUGACUUUUUUAGUUACUCUCCUUGCAUGCAGUGAAUGACUCUCUGG
rnacentral:lncRNA from 1 species